AUGAUUGAGAGGUUUUUGUUUUCUUUAUAAUUUAAGAAAACAUUUUUAUUUGUAAAAAAAAAUUUUUAUUUAUUUUAAAAAUUUUUUUUAAUAUAUAGUAAUAUAUAUUUAAUAAAAAAAAAGAUAUAGCGAAAGCGAGUUUGAAAAAUAGCGUUAAGUUAGUUGAAUUAUUACCCGAAACUAAAUGAUCUAACCAUGUACAGAUUAAACUAAUAGAUCGAACUCGUAUAUGUUGCAAAAUAUUGAGAGGAGAUAUGGUUAGGGGUGAAAGGCUAAUCAAAUUUAGAAAUAGCUGGUUUUCUGCGAAAAUUAUUUAAGUAAUGUGUUAAAUUUAUUAUUAUAUAGGUAGAGCACUUGAUGAGCAAAGGGGAAAUCUUCUGAUUUUACUGAGUUUAUUUAAACUUCGAAUAUAUAUUUAUAAAUAGUAUUUAGCAGUCGGAUUGUAGGUGCAAAGAUCUAUGAUCAAAAGGGAAAAAGCCCAGAUUAAUAAUUAAGAUUUUAAAUAUGAUUGAUGGAUUAAGUUUGAAAAUUUAAGUAAUGAUAACUAAGAGGUAGGCUUAGAAGCAGCCAUCCUUUAAAGAAAGCGUACUUGCUCAUUAGUAGAAUUAAUUUUAAACAGAAAUGUAAAGAAACUUUAAUCAUAUUCCGAAAUUUUAAAUGAAAUAUACAAUGAGAUCCGAAAAUUAAUUUUAAUUAAUUAAUUUUAGUAUGGGCCCCCCAAUUUUGGCGGGUGUCUUCGUUGUUAUGGUAUACAAUGGUAGCAGAAUGAUAGAUACCACUGAUAGUUUAAUUAAAAUUGUAAAAUUUUGUUAAGUACAAUUCUAUUUAAGAAUGUUGACAUGAGUAACGAUAAAAUAAUGAAAACAAAAAUAAAUCAUUAUCACCGGAAAUCCUAAGGUUUCUAUGAUUUUAGUUAAACUUCAUCGAGUUAUUCGUUUCUAAGUUCAAAAAUGAAAAUUUUUAAUGAAUGAAAAAAAGAUUAAUAUUUCUUUAAUAAAUUUUAGUGACAAUAAUUUUAUUUAUAAUUAAACUUUUAUGGAUGUUUAAUUAUAAAUAAAAUUAUUCAAGAAAUACCUAAUUAAAAUUAACCGUACUUAAACCGACACAGGUGGAUGAAUAGAGCAUAUUAAGGUGAUUGGAAGAACAAUUUUGAAGGAACUCGGCCAAAUGAUUCCGUAACUUCGGGAGAAGGAAUGCCCCUUAAUAAUUCUUAUGAUUUUCAUUUUGCCAAAAUUAGAUUAUUAUUGAAAAAUAGGCGACACAGAAAAGGGGUAGCGACUGUUUAUUAAAAACACAGGACUUUGCUAAAUAGUAAUAUGACGUAUAAGGUCUGACGUCUGCCCGGUGAUGGUUAAUGAAAAUAAACGGUUUAAAUUAAAUAUUUAAGCUUUUUAUAUAAGUCCCAUUAAACGGCGGCUGUAACCCUGACGGUCCUAAGGUAGCGAAAUUCCUUGUCAAUUAAGUAUUGACCCGCAUGAAUGACGUAACGACUUCCCCACUGUCUCCAGAAUUGAUCCAGUGAAAUUACAAUUUACGUGAAGAUGCGUAAUAUUUACAGCGGGACGGAAAGACCCUAUGCACCUUUACUAUACUUUUAUAUUGAUUAGAAAAUAACUUAAAACGAAGAAUAAUUAUAGUUUAUGAUUUAUAAAUUUUGGUUUAUAAGAAGACAACAGUGAAAUAAUAAUUUUUAAGUAUUUUUUUCAUCUAAUUUUUUAAGAAAAACAAUAUAUGAGGGGUAGUUUGGCUGGGGCGGCAACCUCCUAAAAAGUAACGGAGUGUACAAAGGCAAUCUCAAUUUAAUAUCUAUUAAAUUUUGAGCGUAAUGGUAUAAGAUUGCUUAACUGUAAGAUUUACAAAUCAAGCAGAGAUUAAAAGUCGUCAUAGUGAUCCAGUGGUAUUUUAUGGAAAAGCCAUUGCUUAACGGAUAAAAGGUACGCUAGGGAUAACAGGCUAAUUGUCCUUGAGAGUCAUAUCGACGGGAUAGUUUGGCACCUCGAUGUCGACUUAUCGCAUCCUGGAGUAGCAGAAGAUUCCAAGGGUUCGGCUGUUCGCCGAUUAAAGCGGUACAUGAGUUGGGUUUAGAACGUCGUGAGACAGUUUGUCCCUAUCUACUGUAAAUGAUAGAAAAUUGAGAAAAUCUAAUCUUCGUACGAGAGAGCAGAGAGGAAAGACCUAUUGUGAAUUGUUGUGUUUACCAAAAUGCAUUGCCAAGCAGCUACGUCUUAAUAAUAGAACUACUGAAAACAUAUAAGUAGGAAAAUAAGUUCAAAAAAAUUUUCUUAAACAUGUUAUAGAUUAUGACAUUCUCUAUAACCUAAAGGUUGUUUAUAAUUCCAUAAAACGUUUUAUAAAAAAUUUUUAGGUGAAUAGGUUUAAUAUUGAUAUAGUGAUAUAUGCAUUACUAAUACUAACUGUUAAUUUUUUAUAUAAUAAAAAAAUUAAAUUAAAUUAAUUAUAAGGAUAUUUUAA
rnacentral:rRNA from 1 species